rnacentral:snRNA from 1 species
UGUCUAUUUGGAGAAUAAAAUUGGAAUGAUACAGUGAAGAUUAGCAUGGCCCCUGCACAAGGAUGAUACACACAAAUUGAGAAAUGGUCUAUCCCUAU